rnacentral:rRNA from 1 species
AACGAACGCUGGCGGCAUGCCUAACACAUGCAAGUCGAACGAGACCUUCGGGUCUAGUGGCGCACGGGUGCGUAACGCGUGGGAACCUGCCCUUAGGUUCGGAAUAACUCCCCGAAAGGGGUGCUAAUACCGGAUAAUGUCUUCGGACCAAAGAUUUAUCGCCUUUGGAUGGGCCCGCGUUGGAUUAGCUAGUUGGUAGGGUAAAAGCCUACCAAGGCGACGAUCCAUAGCUGGUCUGAGAGGAUGAUCAGCCACACUGGGACUGAGACACGGCCCAGACUCCUACGGGAGGCAGCAGUGGGGAAUAUUGGACAAUGGGCGAAAGCCUGAUCCAGCAAUGCCGCGUGUGUGAUGAAGGCCUUAGGGUUGUAAAGCUCUUUUACCCGGGAUGAUAAUGACAGUACCGGGAGAAUAAGCGCCGGCUAACUCCGUG